UAAUCAUUUCUUCGGCAUAGCGAUUAGC
rnacentral:sRNA from 1 species